AGCUCCAAUAGCGUAUAUUAAAGUUGUUGCAGUUAAAAAGCUCGUAGUUGGAUCUCAGGUCCAGGCUUGCGGUCCGCUCCUUGGUGGUUACUGCUCGUCCUGACCUACCACCCGGUUGGCCCUUGGUGCUCUUGACUGAGUGUCUCGGGAAGCUGGAACGUUUACUUUGAAAAAAUUAGAGUGUUCAAAGCAGGCGGUUAGCCUGAAUAAUGGUGCAUGGAAUAAUGGAAUAGGACCUCGGUUCUAUUUUGUUGGUUUUCGGAAUUGGAGGUAAUGAUUAAGAGGGACGGACGGGGGCAUUCGUAUUACGGUGUUAGAGGUGAAAUUCUUGGAUCGCCGUAAGACGAACUACUGCGAAAGCAUUUGCCAAGAAUGUUUUCAUUAAUCAAGAACGAAAGUA
rnacentral:rRNA from 1 species